GAUGAACGCUGGCGGCGUGCUUAACACAUGUAAGUCGAACGAAGCACUUUAUUACGAUUUCUUCGGAAUGACGAUUUAGUGACUGAGUGGCGGACGGGUGAGUAACGCGUGGGUAACCUGCCUUAUACAGGGGGAUAACAGUUAGAAAUGACUGCUAAUACCGCAUAAGCGCACAGGAUUGCAUGAUCUGGUGUGAAAAACUCCGGUGGUAUAAGAUGGACCCGCGUCUGAUUAGCUGGUUGGUGAGGUAACGGCCCACCAAGGCGACGAUCAGUAGCCGACCUGAGAGGUUGAUCGGCCACAUUGGGACUGAGACACGGCCCAGACUCCUACGGGAGGCAGCAGUGGGGGAUAUUGGACAAUGGGGGAAACCCUGAUCCAGCGAUGCCGCGUGAGGGAAGAAGGUUUUCGGAUUGUAAACCUCUGUGGACAGGGACGAUAAUGACGGUACCUGUUUAGAAAGCCACGGCUAACUACGUG
rnacentral:rRNA from 1 species